GAUGAACGCUGGCGGCGUGCCUAAUACAUGCAAGUCGAGCGAACAGACGGGGAGCUUGCUCCUCUGACGUUAGCGGCGGACGGGUGAGUAACACGUGGAUAACCUACCUAUAAGACUGGGAUAACUUCGGGAAACCGGAGCUAAUACCGGAUAACAUGUUGAACCGCAUGGUUCAACAGUGAAAGACGGUCUUGCUGUCACUUAUAGAUGGAUCCGCGCCGCAUUAGCUAGUUGGUAAGGUAACGGCUUACCAAGGCAACGAUGCGUAGCCGACCUGAGAGGGUGAUCGGCCACACUGGAACUGAGACACGGUCCAGACUCCUACGGGAGGCAGCAGUAGGGAAUCUUCCGCAAUGGGCGAAAGCCUGACGGAGCAACGCCGCGUGAGUGAUGAAGGUCUUCGGAUCGUAAAACUCUGUUAUUAGGGAAGAACAAAUGUGUAAGUAACUAUGCACGUCUUGACGGUACCUAAUCAGAAAGCCACGGCUAACUACGUG
rnacentral:rRNA from 1 species